rnacentral:lncRNA from 1 species
AAACUUUAUUAAAAAUAAAAAACUAAAUUACAAAAAAUUCUUAUGUCAAUAUCUAUUUUUUUUACUUUCCUCCUGUCAUUUAAAAAUUUACACUUUAUCCCCUUAAAAUAAAAAAUAAAAAAUAUUCACAGUAGGAUACGUUGUGACAAACUGAUCAAAUUAUCUUUCAUCUUCUUCCGAGUCGGCGGGGACGGAGAGGUGGGCGAGAGCGAGGGUGAGGCGGCGAAGGCAAGCGAGGGCGUGUAUGUGGGCAUGAACAGAGAGGUGGGCGAGGGCGAGGCGGCGCGGCGGAGGGCGAGGCGGUGCGGCCGAUAAUGAGGAAGGAGGAGGGUUUCAAGAAUAUUUUGGGCAUAAAAAAUAGGAUAUAAAUGGAACCCUAACAGGACAUUGACGGCAUGGGUCAAAAUGAGCAUUUUUUAUUUUUUAAGAAGGCAAAGUGUGGAUUUUUGAAUGACCUGAAGGAAAAUGUGAAAAAGCGGAUAUUGAUAUAAAAAUUUUCUUUAAUGCAGGGUGUUGUGGGUGCAUAUUAUUUUAUCACCACAUUACUAAUACUUUAUAUGGUACCGUUUGGUUCAGGUAUAAGUAAGAACUAGCUAUUAUAAGGAUAGAUACAAGUAUGGGGAUAAAAAAAAUAGUGUUUGGAUGAAAAUUAAGAUGUUUUCGGGAAUAAGAACAAUUUUAGAUAGUUUUAUAUAGAAAAUGAAGGUGUUGGUGGAGAUAACCAAGAACUACUAUUCUUGAAUAAAAAAUUAGUAUUUAAGUAUAAAAGAAAGGAUAAGUGACUAUUUCUAUCCCUAUUCCCUAACCAUAUGCU